CACAUGGAUCGGUCCGGCUAUGAGAGCCCCAGCAUCAGAGACUGGAGUGUGGAAACAGGAAGAGGAGGAGAGGGGAAGAAAGGAGCCAAGAGGAGAGGAUCGGGUGAGACGAGGUGGCGAGGGAGGACAAGGGGCAGCAGAGGGGCGUGUGGACGUAACAAAACAAAACAAAAAACGAAGACAUUAAGAAAAUAAAGCUAGCCGAGGAUGAGCACGUCUAUUUAAAGGGAUCGGAGACUGCACUGGCCAGCCGUCUUUCUAUUCCUGACCGACACCAUCGUUGGAUUUGGACCAGAGAGACUCUGACUCCCCCUCUUCUCUCAGUGCUCGCUGCGAGGUGUGAAGUGGAGGGCCCCCUCAACUACAGACCAAGACUGGCUGCAUGUAUCACCCAGCAGAGCUGUACUCUGGCCGUAACACAUGGGACUCCUAUCCAGCUGGAGGGCCUAACAGAGGACAAUGGGCUCCUGAACACGGUCGCCUCUGGAGCCACGCAAACCGAUGCCAAGAAGGGCGCAAUCAAUCACAUCAUCCGCUACCAAGUCGUCUUUAUAAUAGGGGGGAGCGAACAGUUAACCAUGUUCAGGACAAAGGGAUCUCAAAGGGGCACAGGCAGCAUCCGCGUCUCUGGGACAGUAAAGAGCAGCAGUUUGAGGCCCAGAACUGGCAUCACAACUCCACACGCUCCUUCCACAACCGGGCUGCCCCUAACAACGGUUAUCUAACCGGACCCGCAGAGCGCUACGCCACCUGGGACAACAAUGUCGGCAACUCUGUGAACGGGGGUUCUCGUCCGCAUCGCAACAACAGAGAGCUCCAUUCCCCGCCAGAGAGAUGGGCCCCCUCAGACUGCCGCAGGAGCUUCCCAGGCAGAAUGAUAAACAACCGGCCGGGGCCCUGGAAGCGGCCUGCCCUCCAUCAGCGGCGAGACCAAUUACACCAGCACAGCCCACCCCCACAGCACCCUUUGUCCCCGAGGGAAGAGUGUCCUGCUAAGAGGAGAAGGGAUUCUGGCUCGGAUCAGUCAUCUCUCCCUGGAUCAAGACAUUUACCUUUACUUGCCCACACACCGUCACCACCUCGCCACCACCGCUGUCACCAAGAUGACUGGAAGCCUCUCAAUGACAGGGCGGGUCCUUGCCACCACUCUGACCACAGGACCUCGACAACGCAGCAACAGGAAACCUCUAAACUUCGAGCUGGAGGACACGGCUUCGCUGACGGUGACCCAGCAGCUCCAAACCAGAGCUGUGGCAGCAGGCCGCCACAUCACGGAAGCCGAGGGAAGGUCGAGCGGAAAAUCUUGUCUUCACCAGCAGACCACACCCGUGUGCCUUACAGCCACCAAAACCACCAUUACCACUAUCAACGGCACACAGGCCGCCCCCGAGCCCCACAGCACAACCUGCCGCUAUACCCUCUAGAGGAGAGGGACUCACGGAGCCAUCACCACAAACAAAGCACAGAAUCUCAACGCACUCAUCACAGAGGCAUUUCAAGGGAUCCAGCCAUCUCCCAUUCUUCUGGUGCAGACUCUCCUCCCUAUUCGCCCCUCCUCUGCAGCCCUAAAGAUGGAGGCUCCACUGCCAGCAGUCCACCUGCCCCCUCCAGCCCUUCUUCAUACAUGGCAGCCAUCGGCAGAAAAGAUCCAUCAAUCAUUCAUCAGUUUAGCCCUGGCCUCAGUGGACAGCAGAAACUCCAGGGGAGCACAGCCAGACCCAGCCUGACAUCCGCCAUGUCUGUCACAGCUCACGGCGGUCCAAAAUCCAGGUUCUCAGACAUCAAGUACAGAAAGACUUCGCAGCCCCUCUGCUCACGGCUGCUCCCGCACGGCAGAUCGAGAGCAAACAAGCUCGACGCGGAGCUGGAAGAACACAAGAACCCUGAGUGCAAACAAAAAGAUAAGCUGGGGAAAAAGGAGAGAAAGGGAGAUGUUCAAAAGACAAACAGAAAGGGCGAGGAAAGAAGAAGGCGGAAGAAAAAAGAGGAGAGGAGGUUGGGAGAACGUAAAAAGAAAAGAGAUAAGGCGGUGAAAAAAGAAAGAAAGUUGGGCUUGAAAAUCACAAAGAAGGAAACGUGCACCACCAUGUCCAGCUCUUCAGUAGAGGUCAAAAUGAGUAAAAUGGAGACUACAACUCUGACCCCCGAGAGUCGAAGCCAGUCAACACCCAAACACAAGCACAGGGCGAGGAGUGAACGAGCAGAGGGGACACACAGGCCGUCUGCCAAUACGCCUCACCACAGCUCGAAAUCGGAAAAAAAUCACAAAAUGUCCAAAAACAACAACAGUCCCAAGAAACUCCCCGUCAAGAAACUUCUAAUGAAGCCUCCUCCCAACCGGACCAGCAAGAAGCCCAGCGUCGUCCCGUCCCAGUCGGAAGACGGACCAAAAGAAAAGCCUGAUGACGCUCUCCCUUCACUUUUAUUCAAGGCCUUAGCACCUCUCAGUGCAGCAUGUUCCGUUAGCUUAGCGCAGCCCAUCCAUGGCAAGGACGUUGGCCAGGGGGGAGGUCUCAACGCCCCGGACCUCCAGCCUGUGGCGGUGAUGGGCAAUUUGAGGGAAAUGGGAGACAACCUUGCAAACACGCCUCCUGUUCUGAGCUGGCAGGGCUCUCCGGUGUCAGACCUGGAGGAGGACGAGGACGAGCUAGACAAGGGAGUGAUAAGCAGACCUGUCCUCCAGCCCAGCCCCACCCAGUGUUUCUCUCCUCCACCCGUCGACGACGAGAGCACAGAUGAUACGGAGAAGGAGCCGCGCGAAAGCAUGUCCACAGACAACCGUGACGGGCCUGAAUUCUGCGAUCUGCCUUGCACAACUGAACAAGUCGCUGAGGAGGAAACAAAAGAGGACGUGGACAGCAGCGGGGAAACCUCGGGCUCUCUUCUCCGCGAGCUUUGCCACCAUAAAGCGGGACUGGACGAUGUCUUCAAGAGCCUGGCCACCUUUCUCGGGGGCCAGAGGGUCUCGUGUCGAGGCGGUCCGUUUGGCGGGCCUACGGAUAACACCGCAAGAGGGGUGAAGCUCUCCUCUUCUCUCGCUUUUGAGCCAGACAUCCACUGUCAUGAGCAUCACGAUUUCUCCCCCGAAUCAAACCCAGCAGCACCACCCUCCAAACCCACCAGUCAAUCACCAACUCACACUACCUCCGCCGCACUGUUGAAAUCCCACAGUAAAACAGAACUGAGCGAGCCUGUCGCGGACGCCCUGGUGCACGAGAAGCAGGAAGAGACGGAGAGUGACAUGAAAAUAAAACAAGAGGGAAAGGACACAGAGAUCCUCCCUGACAGGAUUGAGUCGUCCCUUUUGAACGGGUCCCUGAGUGCAGAGCUGAGACUGACCACCACGAACGCAGCCUCGUUCACCGGCCUCCUCACCGUUUCUGCCAAGGAAGAGCGAGAGCACAGCAAAGAGCCCGAACGCAGAUGUGCAGAGAGAAAAAGAAAACAAAAGGAUAAGGAUGGGGGACGAGAAGGCGAGAUCAAGAUUAAGAUAAAGAGAGAGGAAAGCAGCGUCGUGUGUCCUAAGGACAAAGUAAAUGAAAUGAAGGAUUCGGAAAAAAGGAAGGUUUCGUCCUCAGAGCCAGUCAUCUCCAGAAGCUCACCCAGACCUCUCAAAGAUCGAAUGAAGGGCCAGAUUCCUCAGGAAAAUCAAUCCCCACAUGGCAAGGGCAGCCCAAGAGAAAAGGACCGCGCUGGGAACAUUGAGGCAAAGGUAGCGACAGAGAAGGAGGAAGUGGUCACUGAGUUAGAAGACAAGAAAUCCUCAGCAGCUAGAAACACAGAUACCAAGACCUCCAGCUCAGCGUCGACUGUAACAAUCAAUGCGUCCAAACUAUGUGUCUCAACACCAGCAAGCAAACCCCCCCGCCCAUUAGGUCCAGUCGAUCCACUGAAACUCAAAGCCUUGUCCAUGGGUCUGUGUAAGGAGCUGAAGAUCCUCCUGAUCAAAGUGGAGAGUGCCGGGAGACAAACGUUCAACAUAUCAGAGGUGGAGGAGCAAAGAAUCCCACUUUCCAAGAUCAACAUCGGGAACACGGCAACCGAAGUGAUCAGAUCGUGCAAGGGGACAAGAGUGAAGGGGAAAUUCAAAGAGUCCUUCCUGCUUUCCACUUUCUCUGUUAAACCCAACAUCGACAUCAAGACCCUGAUUCCUCGAGAAAAGCUCAACCCUCCUACACCAAGUAUCUAUUUGGAGAGCAAGCGGGACGCCUUCUCUCCAGUUCUGCUUCAGUUCUGCACCAAUCCCAAAAAUGCUGUCACUGUCAUCAGAGGCCUUGCUGGCUCCCUCCGCCUUAACCUUGGUCUGUUCUCCACCAAAUCGCUGGUGGAGGCCAACGCGGAACAUGCGGUGGAAGUGAGGACUCAGGUUCAGCAGCCCGCUGAUGAGAACUGGGAUUCCAGUGGCUCAGCACAGACGUGGCCCUGCGAAAGCAGUCGCUCGCACACCACCAUCGCCAAAUACGCCCAGUACCAGGCCUCCAGCUUCCAGGAGAGCUUGCAGGAGGAGAAGGAGAGUGAGAAUGAAGAGGAAGGAGAGCAAACCAAGACCCCAGACCCCUCAGCCACCGCUAAAGCUGUUCUGAUGUUAGCCAACAGCAAAGGCAGUCCCACCUCAACCACCAUCAAAGCCAAUUCUGCUCAGUCCACCAGCACACCCAGCCCAGAGCAGAAAAUGGUCGGAAAGAUCAUUAAAUUUGGGACCAAUAUUGACCUCUCGGACCCUAAAAGGUGGAAGCCCCAGCUGCAGGAGCUGCUGAAGCUGCCAGCUUUCAUGAGAGUGGAAUCCAGCAACAACAUGCUCAGUCAUGUCGGUCACACCAUCCUGGGCAUGAACACUGUCCAGCUCUACAUGAAGGUGCCGGGCAGCCGCACGCCAGGUCACCAAGAGAACAACAACUUCUCCUCUGUCAACAUCAAUAUCGGACCUGGCGACUGUGAGUGGUUUGCCGUCCACGAGCACUACUGGGAAGAUAUCAACAGAUUCUGUGAGAAGCAUGGGGUAGAUUACCUCACAGGGUCCUGGUGGCCGGUCCUGGAAGACCUCUACAGCUCCAACAUCCCUGUAUAUCGCUUCAUUCAGAGGCCGGGCGACCUGGUGUGGAUCAAUGCCGGCACUGUGCACUGGGUCCAGGCGGUGGGCUGGUGCAACAACAUCGCCUGGAAUGUGGGACCACUCAACUCGUUCCAAUAUCAACUCGCCCUGGAGCGCUUCGAGUGGAACGAGGUGAAGAAGGUUAAGUCGAUCGUUCCCAUGAUCCACGUUUCCUGGAAUGUGGCUCGCACCAUCAAGAUCACCGAUCAGGAUACAUUCAAGAUGAUCAAACACUGCCUGAUGCAGUCCAUCAAGCACAUCCAGAUUCUGAGAGACCAGCUGGUGGGUGCGGGGAAGAAGAUCUGUUACCAGAGCCGCGUGAAGGACGAGCCGGCCUACUACUGCAACGAUUGUGAUGUGGAGGUGUUCGACCUGCUCUUUGUGACCAGUGAGACCAGCAGCAAGAAGACCUACGUGGUGCACUGUGAGGACUGCGCCCGAGCUAAGAGCCCGCCUCUGGCAGGAGUGGUGGUGCUGGAACAGUAUCGGAUGGAGGAGCUGAUGAAAACCUACGACAGCUUCACUCUGCAGCAGACUCAAGGGCUUUCCAAGAGGUCUUUGGAAUAAAAGGGAAUGAAACUUGCACAAAGAAUUAAUGCAAACGAUUUUCCCUCUAUGUUGGAUUACCUGCUGUUUCCAGAGCAGAUUUCAAGUGUGCACGUCAAGGCUCCUACACCCCUUUCAAAGUGAGGACUCCUCCCCGGCGUCUUUCAGCCAUAACCAAAACUCUAAUGGCAGCACAAAUGUUGCCUUCAAGGCAAUCUCUUCCUGCAAACACUUUCUGAAUCAGCCAAUCACGUUUACUCAGUAUUGUUUACAUCACACAAUAAGGUAUGGAUACUCAGCCAAACCAACUAUAGCUCACUGUCUUCCCCAUACCAGCUGCUGAUUGGACGUGUGGUUUUGAAAAUAGAAUGACUAGACUGGUACUUCUCAUGUAAAGCAUUUUCAGUCGUGUACAAAAAAGAAGAAACAAAAAACAAUGUGAGCACUGCUAACACUGAAAAUCAGGUUAUAUAUUUAACGGACACUGCUGUGAUUCAAAAGCGUCAAGUAGCCAGUUCUGUGUAUUAAUUCAGGUACUUUUAUGCAAAUUCUGUAGAACUUUUUUACACCAAUCUAGUAAUUCUAUAUGUCCAUGAAUUUGCUGUGAUUUCAUUGUACCAGCAGGGGAAUCGCUUCACAGGAGAAGUAGCUGAUUGUCACAUUUGGCAUCGUUUUGGUUAUUUGUUUUUGUUGGUUAUUCAGGUAAACUCUGACAUUUGUGAUUCCUGUCUGUGAACUUUAUGAGGUGCUAUUACACUUUUAUUUAAUCUUGUUAGAUACUUAAAAAAAGCUUUACCAGCCUAGAAGUACACCACAUUGGCCUUGUGAACUGUAUUUAGAAGAGAGGUAAUUAGAGGAUUAAACACACACUAAAAAGUUUUUAUGUAAGUAUAAAUAAAAAGCGAAUCAAAAACUUUUAUCAGUUUCUCUAAAAUACGGGUUUACUAGAGGACUAAUAUGGUUUCAUUCUUAGUUGGAAAUGAAGUACGUAGAUGGGAAAUUUGUAUUUUAUUUUAUUUGUUUUUAUUUCACAAAUCCAGCUAAAUAUUUGUUGGCGUUGAUACUAUGGUACACCCAGAAAGCAGACAGUGUUGUUUUUUUAUUUUUUGAAAUGGAAAACAAUCUGUUUUAUACCUCUUUUGUUUCUAUGUUCUUGUUUUCUAGAUGACAGAGAAAAUAAAUAAUUGUAAAUUGUGAAUGAAUUUAUGGGAAACGUGGUGUGCAUAGAUGGAAUAUGGGGGUAGGUGAGUGGGGUGGGGGGUUAAAUUAAUUGUUUCCAUUCUGCCCCAAACAACUGUCUGUGAGGCUCAGCUCCGUGAACCGCCACUGGGUUUGAUAUGCUGAAUUUACAGUCUAACAUGCUGAAGAGUACACGUCAAAACAUUUUUUUUUUGUUUGUUUCAUUUAUUUUGUCUGUCUUUUCAUCAGCACUUAUUGUGUUGAAGCUACAUAGUUUGAACUUUGGCUUUUAAAUUCCAUGUUCCAAUUCCAAUGGUUGUUUUUCUCUCAGUUUAAUUUGUUGAUUUACUGUAGGUACUGUUUUUUUUAAUUACUUGUUUUUGUCAUGAUCUUGUAUUUUGUAUUUAGUCACAAAAAGUAUAGCAACCAUUAGUACUUUUCCUAUAAACCCAUAACAUUAACAAACAAUAUGGAUCAGGAUCUCUUCUUUCUGGAGAAUCAUGCUCCCUGCUGGAUGUUCAGCAUUACUGAGCCCCUCCCCCGAUGCCUUUUACUACCUUUAGCUCCCUCAUUAGUCUGUGCACAUCAUUUCAUGUAUAUAAUGUAUCUGUUUCCAGGUUCACUAGAAGACUCAUGUAGUUUUGUUCUCAAUCAAAUAUCUCAUUUGUAUAUGGUCCAAUGUGUCCACCUCAGUCUUUUGUUUUUGUUGUUGCUAUAUUAUAACACAUAAAAUACCCUGUUUCACUCUAGUGUAAAUUACUGCAAUUGGGAUUUUUCUCCCACUUUUAUACCUCUUUUUGUUGUGGGUUUCUGAUUUUUGGAUUACAGAGAAAAUGGAAAAUUGUAAAUUGUGACAUUAUUUAUACUGUAAAUGGUGGUUUUCUUAUAUAUUUAUUGCAUUUCAUGGGUACUUCACUUGAUAAAGGGGCUACAAGGUAUUUUGAAAGUGUAGUAUAAUUAUAAUGUAUGGAUAAGGGAAGUGCAAUCAGGGGGGCGGUUUAAUUUUCAUGGUGCUAGACCCCCCCUUGCCUCAAUGCCCCCUCAUUAAACAGCAUACUGUUAAAUUAUGUAUGAACAUAAGUAACUGAUACAGCUCAAACCAACCAGUUGGUGCUUAGAACCAUUUCAGCAGUUUACUGGUUAAAGAAAUGGAAUGAUGUCUUUGUACUGUAUCGAACGGAUAAAUUAAAUCUUCUUUUUUUAAACUUUAUUUCCAUUGUAUGAAAUUCAUAAUCUUGUGAAGCAUUAGUGGUUUUAUGAUGAGCAUUAGUGGUUGUUGUAAUUCUUCACUCUUUUGCUGAGACUUCUAGGGAUGUGACUUUUAAUGGCGUCUGGGUUUUGUUUUUUGUGUCUUGUCCUCAUUACAGGCAUUCAUUUUUUUUUGAAGGAUGUAAUAAUGAUCUUUUUCUUCUUGACUUGUUUGAUUUAUGCUGCACUUAUUGUUUCAAAAAGAACUCACUCAUAGAAGAAAACCUGAGCCAGACCUGUCUUAAAUUGUAUUGUUGUUCAAGAAAAAUAAAAAUGUUUUGAUAAAUUA